rnacentral:sRNA from 1 species
UCUGACAUUUUAGGGCCUUGGAGCCUGGAA